CUCCAGACUCCUACGGGAGGCAGCAGUGGGGAAUAUUGCACAAUGGGGGAAACCCUGAUGCAGCAACGCCGCGUGAGUGAAGAAGUAUUUCGGUAUGUAAAGCUCUAUCAGCAGGGAAGAAGAUGACGGUACCUGAGUAAGAAGCCCCGGCUAACUACGUGCCAGCAGCCGCGGUAAUACGUAGGGGGCAAGCGUUAUCCGGAUUUACUGGGUGUAAAGGGAGCGUAGACGGCUGCGCAAGUCUGAAGUGAAGGCCCGGGGCUCAACCCCGGGACUGCUUUGGAAACUGUGUAGCUAGAGUGCUGGAGAGGCAAGCGGAAUUCCUAGUGUAGCGGUGAAAUGCGUAGAUAUUAGGAAGAACACCAGUGGCGAAGGCGGCUCGCUGGACAGUAACUGACGUUGAGGCUCGAAAGCGUGGGGAGCAAACAGGAUUAGAUACCCGAGUAGA
rnacentral:rRNA from 1 species